UAUCUUCUCUUUCUUCCUGCCUUGAACAGGAAUGUGGUGACUGGUGCUGUGGCAGCCAUCUUGCAACUAUGAGGCAGACACAGAGAGCAUUUCAGCAGGUACCAACAUUUGACCAGGGACGGAUUUGGCACUGAUUUCUGGGUUGGUGGAUUACCCUUCAAUUAACCACUCGCAACUCUUACUGUGCUGCUGACUACCUACGUGGGGGUACAAGUGGGAUUGGCUUGGGGGAAGACAUUUGCAUCUUUAAUUUC
rnacentral:lncRNA from 1 species